rnacentral:snRNA from 1 species
GGAUGUGAGGGCAAUCCGGCUGCGACAUCUGUCACCCCACUGAUCGCCAGGGUUGAUUCGGCUGAUCUGACUGGCUAGGCGGGUGCCCCCUUCUUCCCCCACUGCUCCAAGUGCGUCCUGCCCGAAGCUGCGCGCUCGGUGGAAGAGGACAACGAUCCCCGUUAGAGGAAGGCCGUUCUUUGGUCCAGGGUAUAGGAGUAGCUGCGCUCCCUGCUAGAACCUCCAAACAAGCUCUCAAGAAGCUAAGGGUGAAUCUAGAUAAAGAUGAAUCUGGGGUCUGGGCUGGGGUUUUAAGUUGUUCCCAACACAAUUUGCCAGCUCUGAGAAGCU